CCUACGGGGGGCUGCAGUGGGGAAUAUUGGACAAUGGGCGAAAGCCUGAUCCAGCCAUGCCGCGUGUGUGAAGAAGGCCUUCGGGUUGUAAAGCACUUUCAGUGGGGAAGAAAGCCUUGGGGCUAAUACCCUCGAGGAAGGACAUCACCCACAGAAGAAGCACCGGCUAACUCCGUGCCAGCAGCCGCGGUAAUACGGAGGGUGCGAGCGUUAAUCGGAAUUACUGGGCGUAAAGCGCGCGUAGGCGGUCUGAUAAGCCGGUUGUGAAAGCCCCGGGCUCAACCUGGGAACGGCAUCCGGAACUGUCAGGCUAGAGUGCAGGAGAGGAAGGUAGAAUUCCCGGUGUAGCGGUGAAAUGCGUAGAGAUCGGGAGGAAUACCAGUGGCGAAGGCGGCCUUCUGGACUGACACUGACGCUGAGGUGCGAAAGCGUGGGUAGCAAACAGGAUUAGAGACCCCAGUAGUC
rnacentral:rRNA from 1 species